rnacentral:lncRNA from 1 species
CAAAACCGAAAGUUGAGAAAGAUCAGAUGAGAUCGCGCCCUCCAUGGGUCUUUCCUUGGGGGUAGGGGCGGGAAUGGGGUUCAAAUAGAACUCUAGACUCAGAGCAGCCCUACUCUGCUGGCCUCUCAGAGCUCGGCUGGAGGUCAGGGCAGGCAGGAAAAAGGCUCUACUUUUGGAGGGGCUGCCUAUGCUGGGGACGGAGCCAGAAAUAGACCUGGAAGAAGAAGAAGAAAAAAAAAAAGAAUGGGGACUUAGAAGAUGAUCACAGCCGUUUUUCUCUUUAUAAAUAUAGCUGUCUGCUUCCCACUCUCGCCCAUGUCACUGCAGGCCAUUAGCGCUCUAUUUUUGCCUCUGCGGAGCUCUGGGCCUGGCCCCCUCUGCCUCCCGGGCUCUGGGCUCUCGGAUGCUCCUCUCCUGAGGGCAGCACUCCUGGGCCGAUGGUUUGACAUCAUAAGUUAUUUUUAUACCAGUAGAUUGCAGUAUCAUAACAGCAUAGAUCUUACGCCAAAGACUGGCCCCAAACCUGGCAGAGAAGAAAAAUGCUUUCAAAGGUCCUCAAAAGACAGAAUCAGAAGACUGUUAUUUGCAUGCAGAUUGAUCCAAACAGAUGUUUACGGGGUCCUGUUGAGAGGUGUUGCCACCAUAUUUCAGAUAGUAGCCUGUGUGGAGAGCAAACACAUCCGUUUCUGCAGAGGUCAUCUAGAGGAGCUCUUGAGUUUCAUGAUGCAGAGGUCUAUUUGUUCAUAUAUCUAUUUAAUUUCCCUCAAUUCUCAAAUUUCUGGACCUCGAUAA